rnacentral:rRNA from 1 species
UACGAAGGGGGCUAGCGUUGCUCGGAAUCACUGGGCGUAAAGUGCACGUAGGCGGCUUUCUAAGUCAGGGGUGAAAUCCUGGAGCUCAACUCCAGAACUGCCUUUGAUACUGGAGAGCUAGAGUCCGGAAGAGGUGAGUGGAACUGCGAGUGUAGAGGUGAAAUUCGUAGAUAUUCGCAAGAACACCAGUGGCGAAGGCGGCUCACUGGUCCGGUACUGACGCUGAGGUGCGAAAGCGUGGGGAGCAAACAGG